rnacentral:rRNA from 1 species
UACGUAGGGUGCGAGCGUUAAUCGGAAUUACUGGGCGUAAAGGGCUCGUAGGUGGCCAACUAAGUCAGACGUGAAAUCCCUCGGCUUAAACCGGGGAACUGCGUCUGAUACUGGAUGGCUUGAGUUUGGGAGAGGGAUGGCGGAAUUCAGGUGUAGCGGUGAAAAUGCGUAGAUAUCUGGAGGAACACCGGUGGCGAAGGCGGCAUCCUGGACCCAACAGUGAACACU